rnacentral:lncRNA from 1 species
GGUUUCUGUCUUAUUGGUGUAUUGUAUAGUUUAAAUGAUAUAUUUUAUAGCUGGGUUUCUGUCUUAUUGGUGUAUUGUAUAGUUUAAAUGAUAUAUUUUAUAGCUGGGUUUCUGUCUUAUUGGUGUAUUGUAUAGUUUAAAUGAUAUAUUUUAUAGCUGGGUUUCUGUCUUAUUGGUGUAUUGUAUAAUUUAAAUGAUAAUUUGUAGUUGGGUUUCUGUCUUAUUGAUGCUCUUUAAUAGUUCGUGUGAUGCCAUGCUAAUAUAUAAUUUAUUUAAUAGCAGUUUUAUUUCUGUAUUCCUAGUGUUACUGUUUCUUAAAUGUAUUACGGUAUGUAGUUGGGUUGCUGCCUUAAUAAUGUUCUAUGUAGUGUCUCAUUGAUGUAUUUUGUAAUUAGUUGCUGUUUUGUUGAUAAUUACACUAAAGCACCAGUUAUGCUUACAAGGUGCAAAUAUUUUUCAUUUUAAUACGGAAAUGUGUUAAUUUUGUCUGCAUCAUAAGGUAUGCAUUUUCAUGUUGAAAAAAAAAUUGCAUUAAAUUUCAAUGGUGUUAUGUUAUUAAUUAUUUCAGCUCUAUCAA